rnacentral:ncRNA from 2 species
UUCUUAUUUAGAGUGGCGGAGGGACAGACCCAAUGAAGCCCGGCAACCUGCAAUGUAUGUUUGAAAAGGUGCUAAUUUCUGCAGAUCUUGUAUCUGAAAAAUAAGAA